rnacentral:rRNA from 1 species
GGGUUGUGAGGUUAAGCGACUAAGCGUACACGGUGGAUGCCCUGGCAGUCAGAGGCGAUGAAGGACGUGCUAAUCUGCGAUAAGCGUCGGUAAGGUGAUAUGAACCGUUAUAACCGGCGAUUUCCGAAUGGGGAAACCCAGUGUGAUUCGUCACACUAUCAUUAACUGAAUCCAUAGGUUAAUGAGGCGAACCGGGGGAACUGAAACAUCUAAGUACCCCGAGGAAAAGAAAUCAACCGAGAUUCCCCCAGUAGCGGCGAGCGAACGGGGAGGAGCCCAGAGCCUGAAUCAGUGUGUGUGUUAGUGGAAGCGUCUGGAAAGGCGCGCGAUACAGGGUGACAGCCCCGUACACAAAAAUGCACAUGCUGUGAGCUCGAUGAGUAGGGCGGGACACGUGGUAUCCUGUCUGAAUAUGGGGGGACCAUCCUCCAAGGCUAAAUACUCCUGACUGACCGAUAGUGAACCAGUACCGUGAGGGAAAGGCGAAAAGAACCCCGGCGAGGGGAGUGAAAAAGAACCUGAAACCGUGUACGUACAAGCAGUGGGAGCACGCUUAGGCGUGUGACUGCGUACCUUUUGUAUAAUGGGUCAGCGACUUAUAUUCUGUAGCAAGGUUAACCGAAUAGGGGAGCCGAAGGGAAACCGAGUCUUAACUGGGCGUUAAGUUGCAGGGUAUAGACCCGAAACCCGGUGAUCUAGCCAUGGGCAGGUUGAAGGUUGGGUAACACUAACUGGAGGACCGAACCGACUAAUGUUGAAAAAUUAGCGGAUGACUUGUGGCUGGGGGUGAAAGGCCAAUCAAACCGGGAGAUAGCUGGUUCUCCCCGAAAGCUAUUUAGGUAGCGCCUCGUGAAUUCAUCUCCGGGGGUAGAGCACUGUUUCGGCAAGGGGGUCAUCCCGACUUACCAACCCGAUGCAAACUGCGAAUACCGGAGAAUGUUAUCACGGGAGACACACGGCGGGUGCUAACGUCCGUCGUGAAGAGGGAAACAACCCAGACCGCCAGCUAAGGUCCCAAAGUCAUGGUUAAGUGGGAAACGAUGUGGGAAGGCCCAGACAGCCAGGAUGUUGGCUUAGAAGCAGCCAUCAUUUAAAGAAAGCGUAAUAGCUCACUGGUCGAGUCGGCCUGCGCGGAAGAUGUAACGGGGCUAAACCAUGCACCGAAGCUGCGGCAGCGACGCUUAUGCGUUGUUGGGUAGGGGAGCGUUCUGUAAGCCUGUGAAGGUGUGCUGUGAGGCAUGCUGGAGGUAUCAGAAGUGCGAAUGCUGACAUAAGUAACGAUAAAGCGGGUGAAAAGCCCGCUCGCCGGAAGACCAAGGGUUCCUGUCCAACGUUAAUCGGGGCAGGGUGAGUCGACCCCUAAGGCGAGGCCGAAAGGCGUAGUCGAUGGGAAACAGGUUAAUAUUCCUGUACUUGGUGUUACUGCGAAGGGGGGACGGAGAAGGCUAUGUUGGCCGGGCGACGGUUGUCCCGGUUUAAGCGUGUAGGCUGGUUUUCCAGGCAAAUCCGGAAAAUCAAGGCUGAGGCGUGAUGACGAGGCACUACGGUGCUGAAGUAACAAAUGCCCUGCUUCCAGGAAAAGCCUCUAAGCAUCAGGUAACAUCAAAUCGUACCCCAAACCGACACAGGUGGUCAGGUAGAGAAUACCAAGGCGCUUGAGAGAACUCGGGUGAAGGAACUAGGCAAAAUGGUGCCGUAACUUCGGGAGAAGGCACGCUGAUAUGUAGGUGAAGUCCCUUGCGGAUGGAGCUGAAAUCAGUCGAAGAUACCAGCUGGCUGCAACUGUUUAUUAAAAACACAGCACUGUGCAAACACGAAAGUGGACGUAUACGGUGUGACGCCUGCCCGGUGCCGGAAGGUUAAUUGAUGGGGUCAGCGCAAGCGAAGCUCUUGAUCGAAGCCCCGGUAAACGGCGGCCGUAACUAUAACGGUCCUAAGGUAGCGAAAUUCCUUGUCGGGUAAGUUCCGACCUGCACGAAUGGCGUAAUGAUGGCCAGGCUGUCUCCACCCGAGACUCAGUGAAAUUGAACUCGCUGUGAAGAUGCAGUGUACCCGCGGCAAGACGGAAAGACCCCGUGAACCUUUACUAUAGCUUGACACUGAACAUUGAGCCUUGAUGUGUAGGAUAGGUGGGAGGCUUUGAAGUGUGGACGCCAGUCUGCAUGGAGCCGACCUUGAAAUACCACCCUUUAAUGUUUGAUGUUCUAACGUUGACCCGUAAUCCGGGUUGCGGACAGUGUCUGGUGGGUAGUUUGACUGGGGCGGUCUCCUCCUAAAGAGUAACGGAGGAGCACGAAGGUUGGCUAAUCCUGGUCGGACAUCAGGAGGUUAGUGCAAUGGCAUAAGCCAGCUUGACUGCGAGCGUGACGGCGCGAGCAGGUGCGAAAGCAGGUCAUAGUGAUCCGGUGGUUCUGAAUGGAAGGGCCAUCGCUCAACGGAUAAAAGGUACUCCGGGGAUAACAGGCUGAUACCGCCCAAGAGUUCAUAUCGACGGCGGUGUUUGGCACCUCGAUGUCGGCUCAUCACAUCCUGGGGCUGAAGUAGGUCCCAAGGGUAUGGCUGUUCGCCAUUUAAAGUGGUACGCGAGCUGGGUUUAGAACGUCGUGAGACAGUUCGGUCCCUAUCUGCCGUGGGCGCUGGAGAACUGAGGGGGGCUGCUCCUAGUACGAGAGGACCGGAGUGGACGCAUCACUGGUGUUCGGGUUGUCAUGCCAAUGGCACUGCCCGGUAGCUAAAUGCGGAAGAGAUAAGUGCUGAAAGCAUCUAAGCACGAAACUUGCCCCGAGAUGAGUUCUCCCUGACUCCUUGAGAGUCCUGAAGGAACGUUGAAGACGACGACGUUGAUAGGCCGGGUGUGUAAGCGCAGCGAUGCGUUGAGCUAACCGGUACUAAUGAACCGUGAGGCUUAACCUUACAACGCCGAAGCUGUU